rnacentral:piRNA from 1 species
UCCCCAAGUGUUACAGCUCAGUAAAAAGU